rnacentral:rRNA from 1 species
UACGUAGGGGGCGAGCGUUAUCCGGAAUUAUUGGGCGUAAAGCGUGCGUAGGCGGAAUGUUAAGUCAUUUGUAAAAGAUCUCAGCCUAACUGAGUAAGGCGAAUGAAACUGGCAAUCUUGAAUACGGUAGAGGUAAGUGGAAUUCCAUGUGUAGCGGUGGAAUGCGUAGAUAUAUGGAGGAACACCAAUGGCGAAGGCAGCUUACUGGGCCGGAAUUGACGCUGAGGCACGAAAGCGUGGGGAGCAAACAGG